rnacentral:rRNA from 1 species
GACGAACGCUGGCGGCGUGCUUAACACAUGCAAGUCGAGCGGUAAGGCCCUUUCGGGGGUACACGAGCGGCGAACGGGUGAGUAACACGUGGGUGACCUGCCCUCAGCUCUGGGAUAAGCCUGGGAAACCGGGUCUAAUACUGGAUAUGACUCCAUGACGCAUGUUGUGGGGUGGAAAGCCUUGUGCGGCUGAGGAUGGGCCCGCGGCCUAUCAGCUUGUUGGUGGGGNGAUGGCCUACCAAGGCGACGACGGGUAGCCGGCCUGAGAGGGCGACCGGCCACACUGGGACUGAGACACGGCCCAGACUCCUACGGGAGGCAGCAGUGGGGGAAUCUUGCGCAAUGGGCGAAAGCCUGACGCAGCGACGCCGCGUGAGGGAUGACGGCC